AUGGACUUAAGGCUCAUAUUAGUUUUCUUUGUCCUUAUUUUAAAAGGUGUCCAGUGUGAGGUGCAGUUGCUAGAGUCUGGGGGAGACUUAGUGCAGCCUGGAAAGUCCCUGAAACUCUCCUGUGCAGCCUCUGGAUUCACCUUCAGUGAUUAUUACAUGGACUGGGUCCGCCAGACUCCAGGGAAGGGACUGGAGUUGGUUGCAGAGAUUAAUCCAAAUAGUGAUAGCACCUGGUAUACCGACGCUGUGAAGGGCCGGUUCACAAUCUCCAGAGACAAUGCCAAGAACACUCUGCAUCUGGAAAUGAGCAGUCUGAUGUCUGAGGACACAGCCAUGUAUUACUGUGCAAGAGACACAGAACCUCCCUCAGUGAACAAGAGCCUUCCCACUCAGACUAAAAGCUCAGGCCUGAGAGGCCGCAUCCACUUCUCACUAAGGUCUCCAGUAGGGCCUGAUUGUCCUGGUGCUGCUCCUAUGCCUGGUGACCUUUCCAAGCUGUAA